AGGCGCCCGCGCUCACUCGCUCUAUUGUUGCGCCUUACGUUGCCAUUAGACAACAUUUGACAACAAUGUGGCGCCUGCUAUUGGCCAGGGGAGGAACGAGCCCUUUUGAUUGGCCACUGGCUUGUCUACAGUGUCCGCCCGAAGCUGCUCUCAAAUAAACUGGGCUUUAAGGAAACUAGGAGGGUCCUGCUAAGGGAGUGCAUUUUACCAGUACAGCUGCAAUAGGUGGUAUUUGAGAGUUUGCCAUGGAGCUGCUAAGGCACCGCGAUGAAGGGUUUUCUCUAUACUGGCCAUGAGGAUGAUCCAGCGAUACGUGUGAAGGGAGGACUGCGGUGCGCU